CUCUGGAUUCCAGAUGUUUUAAGAAUAUUUUCAGCUGCAUGGCUUGACAGCCUUGGGAUUCCCUCACACAUUCAGUCUUUUUUGGAUCAGUCUGGUGUGAGCAUGAAGACUGAGAGUUGUGGAGCCCAGUUAGCCAAUGAUUGCAAUUGUCCAGGAGACAGAUGAUAGUAAUUAAGUUUCCAUCAGCCUGGAACUCAGGGGACAGAAGAUAGAUAUUCUGUAUGUAGAGAAUCACUGGAGGUCAAAUGUCUUUGCCAAUUUGAUUUUUUCCACUUGAACAAGAGAAGACUGUCAAGGGAAAGCCAAUCAAUUUCACAAUGUUUAGGUAAGUAUAAAUGUAAUAAAGAAUAUUACAUUUGAA